rnacentral:lncRNA from 1 species
GUGUGAUGUUAACAAAUUCAAUCUUACGGUAAAGUGUUACCAACUGACUUUGAGUUUACAGUCCUAAUGUGUAUGCAUACCGUCAGAAUACUGUAGUUCCCCCGAACAAACUGUCCUCUCGCUGUCACCACCCCAGUGUCUGGAUGGAUAUCAAACCGGCCUUCAUUGUUGUCUUCUAGACUGUACGUGAUCAUGCCAUUGGGCCCCACAUCAUCAUCACGGGCCACCAUCCUGUAGAUGUCCUGAGGCUCAGCCGUGCUCUGCCGUUCAGGGAGUUUUAUUUGGAAAAGCUUGUGACUGAACUGAGGGCUGUUAUCAUUCUCGUCCAGGACUUCAAUGACCACGGUGGCAGUGGAGCUCAAAGGAGGUUCCCCUUUAUCUGACACCAUGACCUAAACAACCGCAGAGAGGAGAGAGUGCUGAUCACACCUAAACAAACAUACAGAGGAAGAGCAGACAGACUGAUCAAUGCCACCUGCCUCAGAUGGAUGACACACCUGUUCAUUCACCCCAGGCUGCUCAUUUUACUUUCUCUUCCCACAGGUUCCAUCUUGAUGUUUACACUUAUUUUGUCAUCGAUCGUUAGCAGACUCUCUGCAGUGGUUGGUGAAAUAAGGGUGAAAUUCUUUUCUACUUUUUGGAUCUUCACAACAACCGUUGCUACAUUUCCAAAUUUCUGCACACCAGAGAUUUUCUUUUUCCUGUCCUCUGCCAGCACUGUCAGGUCAUACCUAUCUCUCUGACUGGUGUCAAGUCUCUUGACAAGUGUAACAGUCCCCGUGAAAGGAUCAACAGCAAACGGGUGUGAUCUAGUGGUGAAUGAGUAAUAAAAUUCAGCAUUGCUGCCAAUAUCAGCAUCCGUUGCACUCACUCUCACCAGGCUCGACUUGAUUGGUGUGUCCUCCUUAAUUACCACAUGAUAAGAGGCAGGGUAGAAGAGCGGUUUCAGAUCAUUUGUGUCAAGCACUUGGAUCAAUACCUUUGUUCUAGCUCGGUUGUCAAAAGUGCUUUCUGUAGCCUCAACAGUGAGGGUGUAAAUGUCUCUGACCUCUCGGUUGAGCACAGCUGAGUUACUGCUUCGGGUUAUGAUUCUCAGAAAGGAGAAAUCUCCUACAUCUUCUUUCUCGGUCUGGAAAAGGCCAUCAUCAUCACCAGAGACAAUCUUGUACUUGAUGUUCCAGAAGGGAUCAGUCAGUAAUAUGCCCAUCCGGACUGAACUCUCCACGUAGGUCUUAGGGGCAGAGUUCUCAUAAAUGCUGGCAUUAUACAAAUGAUGGGUGAACCUCAGCAAAGAGCUGUCCUUUACCAGGCUCCCAUGACAUCUGGUUAGUGUUCCUAGGACUGCUAUGACAGUGAGAAUUAUGGCUGUGUCUGUGAAAGACAUUCUCACUGCCUCAACAUGGACCCGCAGACCUGAGGAGAGUGAAACAAAUGUUUAAACUUCUUUAUUGUCUGACAAAUAGACCACACAGUGUCAAGACUUGGCCUUAUAAUGAGCUGAUAUUUUAGAGUAAUAUAACCACAUACUGAAACAUAAAAGGACAAAACACACACACACACACACACUCAUCUUAUUGUCUGUUUCACCUAAUAAAAGAUCAUAGUCGGGU